CCCCUCUCAGUAUCGUACCUGGAGAGUUUUGGGAACUCUACCAGUCUCGACUACGGGAGGGAGAGUCAAGCAGAGGCCUACCCAUUCCAUUCCCUAGGUUGGACAGUGACUAGUGAGUGGAAGACAAUCUUUACAAGU